rnacentral:rRNA from 1 species
UACGGAGGGGGCUAGCGUUGUUCGGAAUUACUGGGCGUAAAGCGCACGUAGGCGGCUUUGUAAGUUAGAGGUGAAAGCCCAGGGCUUAACCCUGGAAUUGCCUUUAAGACUGCAUCGCUAGAAUUGUGGAGAGGUAAGUGGAAUUCCGAGUGUGGAGGUGAAAUUCGUAGAUAUUCAGAAGAACACCAGUGGCGAAGGCGACUUACUGGACACAUAUUGACGCUGAGGUGCGAAAGCGUGGGGAGCAAACAGG